rnacentral:lncRNA from 1 species
CAGGUGGCAAGGAGAGGGGAAAGGGCAAAGAAGAGAAGCAGACUCCCCACUGAGUGCAGAACCCAAUAUGAGGCUCAACCCUGCAACCCUGAGAUCAUGACUUGAGCCGGACGCUUAGGUGACUGAGCCACCCAGUGCCCCCAUAUGGGUGUUUUUAUAAGAAGGGAUUCUAGAGAUGGUCCUCUGUCUGCACAUUCACAAAGGAGAGGCCUACAUGGACACAGCAGGAAUGGGGCUGUCUACCCAGGACAUGAGCCCUCACCAGCACCCAACCUUGCUGGCACUUUGAUCUUAGAUUUCCAGCUUUCAGGACUGUGCCAAUUAAAUGUCUCACUGUUUAAGCCCUAGCAGAGUAACAUAACCUCGAAGGUCUAGGAGCCAGCGAGCAUGAAGUUGGUGGACAGUAGCUAUUUGUUGAGUGAAGUCAGUGGGUACCAUCCCCUUAGAGGAAUUGCUUAAGUCAUUGUCUUGUCGCAGCACCAUUGAACCUCCAUUCCCAGAACCAGCAGGGCUGAACUUGAAGUGAAUCAAAGAGGCCCUAUUUGCCCCUUCUUUGGUAACAGUGACAACCUGCACAUGCAUGUGAAUUGGUGAAUAUAGCGAGAAUGGAUGACCAACACUGCUCCAUUAAGGGGAAGAACAUUCAAUUGUGCUGUGAAGUUAUGAGCCCCCUCUGUUCUAAUGGUGCACAGAUCACAGGAUCAGUCUUGGUCAGAGGCCAGUCAUUUUCCAAACUGCAUUUUAAACUGCUCCAGCUGACACUGGUCAAUGGCGGAAGACGGAAAGCUCUCCUCUCCUGUCAGAUCCAGUACAAGGCAAGGAUAUCCACCCACACCACUUCUACUCAAUAUAGUACUGAAAGUCCUAGCUAGAGCAGUUAGGCAAGAAAAAUUGGAAAAGAAGAAAUAAAAUUAUUUCUGUUUGUAUAUGGCACAACCACAUCAGUAGGAAUAACUGUAAGAACUCAAUAACACAAAUUUUUGAAGUAAUAGAAAAAUUCAAUGAAGUUGCAGGUAAAAUAUUAACAUAUAAAAAUAUCAUGUUCCCAUACACAAACAAUGGAUUAUCCAAAAAGGAAAUUUUUAAAAAUCC